rnacentral:rRNA from 1 species
UACGAAGGGGGCUAGCGUUGUUCGGAAUUACUGGGCGUAAAGCGCACGUAGGCGGAUUUGUAAGUCAGGGGUGAAAUCCCGGGGCUCAACCUCGGAACUGCCUUUGAUACUGCAAGUCUCGAGUCCGAUAGAGGUGAAUGGAAUUCCUAGUGUAGAGGUGAAAUUCGUAGAUAUUAGGAAGAACACCAGUGGCGAAGGCGGCUCACUGGAUCGGUACUGACGCUGAGGUGCGAAAGCGUGGGGAGCAAACAGG